GCUCCUCUUCCUGCCAAUCAGAUUUGAGGUUCUCUCUCUGAUCUGGGGCCCAGCUCCGGGAAGGAAGUGGUUAGAGGGCACUCCCCUUGCCUGGGGCUGCAAACCCUGAGACUCCCGACAAGGUAGGGAGCUGGUGCUCCAUCUUGGGGUUAGCAAACUCCAAGUUUUCUUCUGAAUCCUCCUGGAAGAUCUUCAAACUCUGUCUAGAAGAACAGGAAGUAGCGGCUGGAGGGGAUUUCCUGUUUGCUGAUGGUGUCAGCACUGGUCUGAGAGGCCUGCUCUGCUGUGGCUAAUGUGAGCUGUGGCUUCUCCCACCCUCCCCUGAGGCUGACUGAGACUGGAAACCCUUGAAAAUUGAUGCCUGUCAUAUAUCUGGGCCUAAGACAAACAGAACAUUUGAGCUGGGAGACAAAGCUGAAACUGCUCACUGCAGACUGAGCCCCACCAGAACCAUCCAGGGCAGAAGCCACACAGGCCCAGCAGCUUCUGAUAGGAUAGAAGAGGUAUCUCUGGCACUCAGUCGGAGCAGCACAGCGGGACCAAGGUAGCCCAGAAAGCCCACUGUCCCUUUCUCUCCAGUCAUGCCCACGGCUGUGUGGAGGAUCGGAAGCACAAAUGAAGGAGGCCAAGCCCUAGCUACUUUCCAGGUGUGUUCACUUGGCAGGAGAGUGUGGCCAAGAUGGAUAACGGCUGAAGGACAGCUUCUAAACAGGAGGGCAAAGAGCACGGCUUUUCAUCCUCUUACUCCUGCCUUCAAGAAGCACCCAUGGCUUGUCUUGACACCCUCUCCCCACCUCCGCCUUCUCAAAUAGAACCUGACAUUUGUAAUCAA